GGGGGCGUGGCCCCGCCAGCGCGCAGGGCUCCAAGCAGCUGCGACUAGCGGAAAGCGCGCGCCAGCUGCACGCAGGGAAACAGUUCUCAUUUUGUGUGCUCGGCUGACUGCACGUCCAGCCUCGGGCCAGCUCGAGACGGCCACAUUGCCUGGUUGAAGAUGGCUGAGCGUAAAACAGAAUGCAAGUCAGCUGGAGCACGUACUACUGGAGGCAGAGCCCCAUGAGAAGGGGCCAAGAACCCGCACCCAUCAAAAUCAAGAAGAAAGGCUGAACCCGGAGAGAAAAGGGAGCAACUGAUGUUGCCAUGCAGAUCCCUUGGUUGCUAUGAGAUGGUAACAUCACUCUGCCCCACCAUUGGCCAGUGCCUCCUCAGCUGCGGUGCCUCCCAGGCUGUGUGGUUCUCACGCGGGCCACUGACACAGAGCUGUUACUAUGGUGAACUUUACAAUUUCCUUUGAUUGGUGGAUUUCAGAAAUAGGCCAUCAGCGGAAUUCAUUAUAUUCAGCUAAGUAAAAAUGAAAAAUAAAUACUAUAACUUUCCCCUCAUCACUAACAUGAAGGAAACGUGACCCUUCAUGACAUAAUAAAUCGCUGUUCGGUAACUUAGGAUCCUUCAGGGGACUGAAGCGGGAUGAUCCUCCUAUGCCAAAUUUGGGUGGGAAAGAUAUUCCCUGUAGCUUUGAGUCGACUCUUCAGAGUUAAGGGCAGUGGGCCAACCAGAGUUGGAACUUCAGAGUUGGGAGGAGGUGUGGGAUGGGGCAUGCAUUGAAAUGUAAACUCUAUUGUCUCUGAAGUGAUGGGUGAUGCUGGGGGCCUGAGUGUGGAGGGCAGUUUUACAUCUCAGGACAAUGUUUUCUCAGAUGCUCUUCCAGAAAGAAAAGCCAGGAGUACUCCUGGCUGGAGGCGGCAUGCCUGAGGUCAGAGUCAAAGUAGGGUUUGUGCUGUCUGAAUCCUUUCUCCCACUCUCCCCAGCCUGGCUCAGCUUCUCAGCUUCUCAGGUGGAUUGGCCUCUGAGCCCAAGCCAAGCCAUCGCAUCCCCUGUGACUUGCCCGUAUAUAUGCCCAGAUGGCCUGAAGUAACUGAAGAAUCACAAAAGAAGUGAAUAUGCCUUGCCCCACCUUGACUGAUGACAUUCCACCACAAAAGAAGUGUAAAUGGCCGGUCCUUGCCUUAACUGAUGACAUUACCUUGUGAAAGUCCUUUUCCUGGCUCAUCCUGGCUCAAAAAGCACCCCCACUGAGCAUCUUGCGACUCCCACUCCUGCCCACUGAGCACCUUGUGACCCCCACUCCUGCCUGCCAGAGAACAAACCCCCUUUGACUGUAAUUUUCCUUUACCUACCCAAAUCCUAUAAAACGGCUCCACCCUUAUCUCCUUUUGCUGACUCUCUUUUCUGACUCAGCCCGCCUGCACCCAGGAGAUUAAAAGCUUUAUUGCUCACACAAA
rnacentral:lncRNA from 1 species